rnacentral:lncRNA from 1 species
UUAGGAAGUUCACUAUUGAAAAUGCAAUACCACCCACGCGUCAACCAUCUAUAUGACUGUCGGCUCAUUUCAGUAACUGAAGAAAACAUCUAGCCAAUAGGUUUUUUCCACGUUUCAAUCCACAUCAAAACCAGAAAGCAGCUGUUCUUGAACAAGCGGUUUUGCAGUUCUUCCUCCCACUUGUAAUAAUACUUUCCUUAUAUAGUAGUAUUCUGAAACAGCGAUUGCGAAUCCUGCUUUUGUACUACAUAUAGAGUAAGUUUUUUCUUUUUCAUUUUUCAUUUAUUUUCUUGGUAAACCACCUUGCUGUCUUCUUGAAAGAGUUGUGUAUAUAUAGAUAUGAAUUAUUUUGGUUUUUCAGUAUUUUUUGUGGGUUUUACAUGGAAUAAAUUAUUGUACAUGUAGAGAGAGAAAUGGGGAGAGGGAAGAUAGUGAUAAGGAGGAUCGAUGAUUCGACGAGCCGACAAGUGACAUUUUCGAAGAGGAGAAACGGGCUCUUGAAGAAGGCUAAGGAACUUGCGAUCUUGUGCGAUGCUGAGGUCGGAGUGGUCAUCUUCUCCAGCACUGCCAAGCUCUAUGAUUUUGCCAGCACCAGGUCCUAAAUUAUUCUUUUAUUUACCAUCUUCUUUAUGAUCACACCCUUCCAUGUUCUUAUAAUUUCGAUACUGUCUGCGAUUUUGAAGCUUUCUACUCUCCAAGAUCUGUGUGUGGUGCAAUAAAUGGCUAAUUUUAUGUAUUCUAAUUAUGAGAAUUAUUGGCCAAUUAAUUUUAAUAAUUUGUAGGAUUUUUUUCCAUAACUAGAUGACUAAGUUUCUGCGAAAUAUUUUGUUUUUAUUGCUUUUCAUUUGUGAAUUAUGGGUGCCAAAAGUUUACUCCUACCAAUUAGACUCCAGAAGUUAGAGAUACUGAUGCUUUGCAAACAAAAAAUGCGCCAGAUAUGAAAGAUUAUGGGAUGUUUGGUAGGUGGAUUGGACAUUAUUAGUAACGAAAAAAUUGAGUUAAAAACUUGUAUUGUUUAAUCUUGUCUAAUAGCACAUUGUUUUGCGAUUGUCGUGUAUUAUUCUCCCUAGUCCACUAGCCUUUUUCUUAUUAAUCACAUUUAAAGAAUU